rnacentral:rRNA from 1 species
CCUACGGGAGGCAGCAGUAGGGAAUUUUCCACAAUGGACGAAAGUCUGAUGGAGCAACGCCGCGUGAGUGAAGAAGGGAUUCGGCUCGUAAAGCUCUGUUGGUAGUGAAGCAAGAUCGAGGUAGUAACUGGCCUUUAUUUGACGGUAAUUACUUAGAAAGUCACGGCUAACUACGUGCCAGCAGCCGCGGUAAUACGUAGGUGGCAAGCGUUGUCCGGAUUUGUUGGGCGUAAAGCGAGUGCAGGCGGUUCAAUAAGUCUGAUGUGAAGGCCUUCGGCUCAACCGGAGAAUUGCAUCAGAAACUGUUGAACUUGAGUGCAGAAGAGGAGUGUGGAACGCCAUGUGUAGCGGUGGAAUGCAUAGAUAUAUGGAAGAACACCAGUGGCGAAGGCGGCUCUCUGGUCUGCAACUGACGCUGAGGCUCGAAAGCAUGGGUAGCGAACAGGAUUAGAUACCCGAGUAGUC